CGCGGCCACUCUGCUUCGUUGUGGUGACACACGCAUCGGAUUAAACUGCAUGUAAACGUACUAGUACGUCUAAACUAAUAACUAGUAUGUUUACAUGCAUGGCAUAUCAGAGAAUUCUGUCAUUUCGGUCGCGGGGCAACGAAUGAAUAAAGAUCGUUAGCACUCUGAAAAACAGAUGACAGAUGUGCCCGAAGUUACUACUUUAUUACCUCCUUGGGUGAAAUCGAAGCGUAGUGUGUACUGAAUGCGUGUUGAUGAUGAUGCAUAUGAAUUGCAACUUACACGUCUUCCAAACCUUUUCAGUACCCUGGCACAUGCUUUGUCCAAUGGACCAUGGAAGGGACUUUACUUGGCUGACGAGGACGCACCUCACCAGUAUCAGAGCAACAGCUGUGGGGUGUUUAUGCUGAUGUACGCAAUGUAUUCUACCCUCAAAAGCAAUAUGAUUUCAGUGAGGGGGACAUGCUCUCUAUCAGGAGGUGGUGGUGUGGACAGCUGUUGGAGACCUUUAUGCUUGAAAGCCCUGCAGAACUAGCUGGCUCCUUCUCACCCUCUCCAUCUCCCCAUCUCAGUCACACCUUCCAAUCACUAAGCAGUGAAAGCCCUGCAGGACUAGCUGGCACACCAAGCUCACCCUCUCCAUCUCCCCAUCUCAGUCACACGCUCCAAUCUGGCACAACAGAGGACAGGCCAUUCUUACCACCCGAAGUCCUUCAGCAAUUUGUACAAGAGACGCUGAGACUGGACAUGGCGAUGCUUGGCGUGUUCAACAGGGUUUCAAACACAUUCCGAGAACUAAUCAAGCCUCUCCAUCCUUCCAUAUAUAUAAAUGACAGUUUGGCAGGGGACAUUAAGCUUAAUAAAGACAAUCUCAUAUACAUAACGGUUAGAAAGAUUUACAACAAUGCAGGCUGUGGCAGUGGCCUUGCGCUACGCCUCAAAGGCUUCUCAAAAAAGAAUUGGCCAAGCGCACCUCUGGUACUGAGGCACGUUGCAUAUGGCAGGUUUGUCAUAAAAGAUGUCUGCCUAGCGUAAUGUUCUUCUAUUACUCCUUUUUCGUUUUAUUUGGGACGUCAUUUUUUGCAAUCCCUUUCAUUUGUAAAUGUACAUACUACUGUAGUAAAUGUAUCUGCCCAGAAAUGCUGGUAUUUUAUUACUCCUUUCUUUUUUGUUUUUGUGACAAAUGCUAUACGAUGUAUAACAUGCAUUUGUGCCUACGAUGUAUGUUGUAAGGUUAAUUGUUACAGAGCAAUUACUGUAUUUUGUCUUUAUUGAAAACAUUCAGUGGGAAAAGUAAGUGAACACUUGGAGUCAAAUGGUCUACUGUUUGAGCCUUCAUAGUGUCUGGUGGUAACUGGAUUUGAACUGCAUAAUGUCCCAAGUGUUAUUUGAAUCUAUUCAUUAUUUAAUUUGGGCAUAUUCUUAAACAACUAUAUCAAACAUCUCACUUAUAUCUAAUACCCUACCUAUACUAACCCAGAAGAUAAUGAACAUGAGAUCAUGGAGCCUCCCUGUAAUGAUCGUGUUGCAUCAAGUUUGAUGCAAAGUUUGGGCCGAGAUCCGACGCAUAAAUGUAAGCUAACAUUCUGUAGGCCUAGCUGGCUAACGUACCCGUAUAACAAGAUCGAAGAAGAAGGGGGCGCUAACGUCAGUUUUAUGCUGCCCAUACUACUAGAUCGACGAAGAAGAACUGGGCGUUCCAGCCUGCGUAAACGAGAACGCCGGGGGGGCGUUUUAGUCUGCGUGAACGAGAACGCCC